GUUGUCGUAUUUACUUCAAUCCAUGUGUGUUGGUGUGGAUUAGAGUGGAAUUUAGUUCAAGUUUCACUCCAAUCCACUUCAAUACAUGUGGAUUGAUGUGAAUACGACU
rfam:Sorghum bicolor cultivar BTx623 chromosome 4, whole genome shotgun sequence.